CCUACGGGAGACAGCAGUGAGGAAUAUUGGUCAAUGGCCGGAAGGCUGAACCAGCCAAGCCGCGUGAAGGACGAAGGUGCCAAGCAUUGUAAACUUCUUUUGUCAAGGGACAAAAUCAGGCUCGAGAGCCUGACCGAGGGUACUUGAAGAAAAAGCAUCGGCUAACUCCGUGCCAGCAGCCGCGGUAAUACGGAGGAUGCGAGCGUUAUCCGGAUUUAUUGGGUUUAAAGGGUUCGUAGGCGGCAAGGUAAGUCUGAUGUUAAAGCCCGGGGCUCAACUCCGGUUCGGCAUUGGAUACUAUCUAGCUAGAAUGUGGUAGAGGUAAAGGGAAUUGCUGGGGUAGCGGUGAAAUGCGUAGAUAUCAGGAGGAACAUCGGUGGCGAAGGCGCUUUACUGGACCAUUAUUGACGCUGAGGAACGAAAGCCAGGGGAGCAAAUGGGAUUAGAUACCCUUGUAGUC
rnacentral:rRNA from 1 species